rnacentral:rRNA from 1 species
UACGGAGGGUGCAAGCGUUAUCCGGAUUCACUGGGUUUAAAGGGUGCGUAGGCGGGUUGGUAAGUCAGUGGUGAAAUCCCCGAGCUUAACUUGGGAACUGCCAUUGAUACUAUCAGUCUUGAAUACCGUGGAGGUCGACGGAAUAUGUCAUGUAGCGGUGAAAUGCUUAGAUAUGACAUAGAACACCAAUUGCGAAGGCAGUUGACUACGCGAGUAUUGACGCUGAGGCACGAAAGCGUGGGGAUCAAACAGG